rnacentral:rRNA from 1 species
UACGGAGGAUGCGAGCGUUAUCCGGAUUUAUUGGGUUUAAAGGGUGCGUAGGCGGACUGUCAAGUCAGCGGUAAAAUUGAGAGGCUCAACCUCUUCCCGCCGUUGAAACUGGUGGUCUUGAGUGGAUGAGAAGUACGCGGAAUGCGUGGUGUAGCGGUGAAAUGCAUAGAUAUUACGCAGAACUCCGAUUGCGAAGGCAGCGUACCGGCAUCCAACUGACGCUGAGGCACGAAAGCGUGGGGAGCAAAUAGG